rnacentral:lncRNA from 1 species
UUUCUUCUUCGCUAUUCUCUGAUACAUUCUCUCAUACUUAAUCCAAAUCCAAUUAAGAGAAUUUCACUUCAAUCCUAUCAAUUCUUCUAUCUGGUCUUCCAUCAUCUGCAGGGUUUCCCAGAACAAACCUUGUCAUGACAUGGUUCCUCAGAUUGCUACUCAAUCUAUCGAAUGCAUCAAAUGCUUCAAACAGAUUACAAGAUCAACAUACCUCAACAUAAUCCAACUACUUGAUCGAGUUUCCAUUUGCAAUCACGAUAUUCGACACAUAGUCGAAGAACUCAUUUUCUCUC